GGCUUUGCACGCUGGCAGUAUCAUAGUCAAUGAGGUUUAUCGGAGGCGGGAUUAUUGCUAAUAGAAAACUUCCCAACACCCUGCAAUGACGACCUGAAAUACAGUUGGCAUUGGGCAAUUUUUGGCAGUCUCUAUGGGGA